AUGCCCGUUGAAGCACCCGUGCAAUGCCCACUGCAGUGCCCAUGCAGUGCCCGGUGCAAUUCAGUGCCCAUUGCAGAGCCCAUUGCAGUGCGUGGUGCAAAUGAAUGCCUGCUGCAGUGCCCGUGUAAUGCCCAUGCACUGCCUGCUGCAGUGCCCAAUGCUCAUUGCAAUGCCCGGUGCAAUGCUCAACGCCCGGUGCAGCCCCUGUGCAAUGCCCAGUGCAAUACCCGGUGCAAUACCCGGUGCAAUGCCUGGUGCAAUGCCCUGUUCAGUGCCUGGUGCAAUGCUCAAUGCCUGGUGCAGCCCCCGUGCAAUGCUCAAUGCCCGGUGCAAUGCUCAAUGCCGUUGCAGCCCCCGUGCAAUGCCCAGUGCAAUGCCUGGUGCAGUCCCUGUACAAUGCCUAGUGCAAUGCUCAAUGCUCGGUGCAUCCCCCAUGCACUGCCUGGUGCAAUGCUCAAUGCCUCAUUGCAGCCCCCAUGCAAUGCCCAUUGCAAGGCCCGUUGCAAGGCCUGGUGCAAUGCUCAAUGCCAUUGCAGCCCCCGUGCAAUGCCCGACGCAAUGCCUGGUGCAGCCCCCAUGCAGUGCCCGGUGCAAUGCUUAAUGCCCGGUGCAGCUCCUGUGCAAUGCCCAUUGCAAUGCCUGGCGCAAUGCUCAAUGCCUGUUGCAGCCCCCGUGCAAUGCCAGGUGCAAUGCCCGGUGCAAUUCUUAAUGCCCGGUGCAAUGCCCAAUGCCCGGUGCAGCCCCCGUGCAAUACCCGGUGCAAUGCCCCGCGCCGCGCCACUUCCCUCUCCCGCCACAAGGGGGCGCCCCCGCUCCCUUCUCCCGUUCCCCCCUCCCCAGCCGCCGCUCGGCUCUUUCCGGAGCGGCUCGGCCGAGGGGCGUGGCCCCGGCGGCGGGGAAGGGGCGUGGCCACGGGCCCUCCGCAACCCUUCGGAACCUUUCGGAAGCCUUCGGAAUCCUUCGGAACCCUUCGGAGCCUUUCGGAGCCCUUCGGGGCUGUUCGGCCCCGUUCGGCCCUUUCCGGGGCGGGCUCGGGCCGUUCCGGCGCCGUUCGGGCCCUUCGGAGGCAGCAGCGGGGCUGGAGGCGAGCGGCGGCGGCGGCCCGGGGGGGCGGCGGAGAGGUGGGGACGGGACCGGGACCGGGGGCGGGAGGGGGGCAGGAGGGGGUGGGGAAGCGCCUGGGGGGGGCUGAGGGGGAGCCUGAGGGGGUCCUCAGGGGGCCCUCAGGGGGUCCGGGGGGGUCCUGAGGGGGCUCUCAGGGGACUCUGA
rnacentral:lncRNA from 1 species